rnacentral:tRNA from 1 species
GCAGUGGUGGUUCAGCGGUAGAACUCUCACCUUCCAUAUAGGAGACCCUGGCUCGAUCUCUGGCCAAUGCA